rnacentral:rRNA from 1 species
AGUGAACGCUGGCGGUAGGCCUAACACAUGCAAGUCGAACGGCAGCACAGUAAGAGCUUGCUCUUACGGGUGGCGAGUGGCGGACGGGUGAGGAAUACAUCGGAAUCUACUUUUUCGUGGGGGAUAACGUAGGGAAACUUACGCUAAUACCGCAUACGACCUACGGGUGAAAGCAGGGGAUCUUCGGACCUUGCGCGAUUGAAUGAGCCGAUGUCGGAUUAGCUAGUUGGCGGGGUAAAGGCCCACCAAGGCGACGAUCCGUAGCUGGUCUGAGAGGAGGAUCAGCCACCCGGGAACUGAGACACGGUCCAGACUCCUACGGGAGGCAGCAGUGGGGAAUAUUGGACAAUGGGCGCAAGCCUGAUCCAGCCAUACCGCGUGGGUGAAGAAGGCCUUCGGGUUGUAAAGCCCUUUUGUUGGGAAAGAAAAGCAGCAGGUUAAUACCCCGCUGUUCUGACGGUACCCAAAGAAUAAGCACCGGCUAACUUCGUG